GGUCCUUGAUGUGUAGGAUAGGUGGGAGGCUUUGAAGCGUGGACGCCAGUCUGCGUGGAGCCAACCUUGAAAUACCACCCUUUAAUGGCUGGUGUUCUAACGUAGACCCGUAAUCCGGGUUGCGGACAGUGUCUGGUGGGUAGUUUGACUGGGGCGGUCUCCUCCCAAAGAGUAACGGAGGAGCACGAAGGUUGGCUAAUCCUGGUCGGACAUCAGGAGGUUAGU
rnacentral:rRNA from 1 species